CGGACGGGUGAGUAAUGUCUGGGAAACUGCCUGAUGGAGGGGGAUAACUACUGGAAACGGUAGCUAAUAUCGCAUAACGUCGCAAGACCAAAGAGGGGGACCUUCGGGCCUCUUGCCAUCAGAUGUGCCCAGAUGGGAUUAGCUAGUAGGUGGGGUAACGGCUCACCUAGGCGACGAUCCCUAGCUGGUCUGAGAGGAUGACCAGCCACACUGGAACUGAGACACGGUCCAGACUCCUACGGGAGGCAGCAUG
rnacentral:rRNA from 1 species